CCUAGCUCUGUAUUCUACAUUUAAAUAUACUUUAAAAAUACAUUUGACGAAUACAACUCGUCUCGUUAUUAAUUUAACCAACAACACGUCUCACCGUCCACCACAUAACAUAUAUGUCGGGUUGGCGUUAUGAUUAGAGUUGGGGUUAAGGACGUGAAGCGAAUCCUCGUCGCGAUUAGACAUCGCUGCCAUGCAAUGGAGAAGAUAUUGACUAGAGCAAAUAUGAUUGUUACAGAUAUCGACAAGCAACCGUGGUAACUAGACACUCGAGACGCUAAUGGCAAUGAUCCUAGGUUCGAUAACGAAUCCGCGGUCAAUGGGAUAACGGGUGUAUGUUCUCACAAACUCUAAGUCCGACUCUUGGUUAACAAACGUGAAAGAUUCACUGAUCGCGAAUAUGUUAUUCCUUCUCGUCGAUGAGAUCGCACGAAGGAAUGAAUUUCCGUCGCGCUGAUGCCACCGAGAAAAACUAUGACGGAGUGUGUCUAAGGGCACGAGAUCAUCGGAUUCAUGGAGCGAUGCCUUCGUUCAGAAGGUGAGAGAAAUUGAUGUUGCUGUUAAUUGGUCAAUUUCCCAUAUCGAUGGUAAAAAGGAAUGCUAACCGGCCUUGGGGAAAAGUCGUUCGUGAGGAGGAUUUAUAACGGGUCCUCAGGCUAGCGAAGACGCUUCGGCACCUGGCGACCAUCUUACCCGGAAGACAGGGUCUUUGUUAGGCAAACGUUCAUCCCUUGACCGCGGCUACGUUGGGGACUGGUUGUCGUCCCGAGCCCAAGCUCAUUGUCACGAAUCUCGAACAAUCUCGGGUACAAUCGGGUCGAAUGAUAAUUGCUUAAUUACGGGUUUUUCCCAAAGUUCCAAAGGAAGGCUCCGGUGUUCCUCCGUCUCCGACAUAUAUACAGACAGAACAUAUAGUCUUUGUUUUUGUUUACGCCAGUGUCAGAAUCUUCAAACUGAUGAAAAUGUCGCUUGAAAAUAGAAAACGAGGAGCAAUUUGAAAAACACUGUCGCGCUAUGA